UAGUAGUCAGCCACUCCGCUGGCAACAUGAGGAUAAAUCAGGGAUUAUACACCCUUUUGUAAUCCCUACACUGCCUUUCACCUUAUGGGGAAGAGACAUUAUGAAAGAGAUAAAGGUCAGAUUAAUGACAGACUCACCAGAUGAAUCACAGGAUUUAUGAUAGGGGCCAUUGAGAGCAAUCUCUUUGCAGACCAAAUAUCUUGGAAAUCAGAUCAGCCUGUAUGGCUUAAUCAAUGGCCCCUUAAACAAGAAAAGUUACAGGCUUUGCAACAGUUAGUGACAGAACAAUUACAAUUGGGCCACCUAGAAGAGAGCAAUAGCCCUUGGAAUACACCUGUUUUUGUUAUUAAAAAGAAGUCAGGAAAAUGGAGACUGUUACAGGACCUACGUGCAGUUAAUGCUACAAUGCACGAUAUGGGAGCCUUACAACCAGGCUUGCCGUCUCCUGUGGCAGUCCCUAAAGGAUGGGAAAUAAUCAUAAUAGAUCUACAAGAUUGUUUCUUUAAUAUAAAACUACAUCCUGAAGAUUGUAAAAGAUUUGCUUUUAGUGUACCUUCUCCUAACUUCAAGAGGCCUUAUCAAAGAUUCCAAUGGAAAGUCUUGCCCCAGGGUAUGAAAAAUAGCCCUACUUUAUGUCAAAAAUUUGUAGACAAAGCUAUAUUGACUGUAAGGGAUAAAUAUCAAGACUCAUAUAUUGUGCAUUACAUGGAUGACAUUCUUUUGGCACACCCAUCAAGAGCCAUUGUUGAUGAGAUACUUACUUCCAUGAUACAGGCCCUUAAUGAACAUGGCCUCGUAGUAUCCGAAGAAAAGAUUCAAAAAUAUGAUAAUCUCAAAUAUUUGGGAACCCAUAUACAGGGUGAUGUGGUGUCUUAUCAAAAGUUACAGAUUAGAACAGAUAAAUUAAGAACCUUAAAUGAUUUCCAAAAGCUUCUAGGAAAUAUUAAUUGGAUACGUCCUUUCUUAAAAUUAACAACGGGAGAGUUAAAACCUCUCUUUGAAAUCCUUAAUGGAGAUUCUAAUCCUAUCUCAAUAAGAAGACUUACUCCUGAGGCAUGCAAAGCUCUUCAAUUAGUAAAUGAGAGACUAUCUACUGCUCGGGUAAAGAGGCUAGAUUUAUCACAGCCUUGGUCUCUAUGUAUAUUAAAGACUGAAUACACCCCCACAGCAUGCCUCUGGCAAAAUGGAGUUAUAGAAUGGAUACAUUUGCCCCAUAUUUCACCAAAAGUGAUUACUCCUUAUGAUAUCUUUUGUACUCAACUUAUUAUUAAGGGCCGACACCGCUCUAAAGAAUUAUUUAGUAAAGAUCCUGAUUAUAUUGUUGUGCCCUAUACCAAAGUUCAAUUUGAUCUCCUAUUACAAGAAAAAGAGGAUUGGCCUAUCUCCUUAUUGGGGUUCUUGGGAGAAGUUCAAUUCCAUCUUCCAAAAGACCCUCUGCUCACAUUUACCCUACAAACUGCCAUUAUUUUUCCUCACAUGACUUCUACCACACCACUAGAGAAAGGAAUUGUGAUUUUUACGGACGGUUCAGCAAAUGGCCGUUCGGUAACAUAUAU
rnacentral:lncRNA from 1 species